AGUGAACGCUGGCGGUAGGCCUAACACAUGCAAGUCGAACGGCAGCACAGUAAGAGCUUGCUCUUACGGGUGGCGAGUGGCGGACGGGUGAGGAAUACAUCGGAAUCUACUUUUUCGUGGGGGAUAACGUAGGGAAACUUACGCUAAUACCGCAUACGACGUACGGGUGAAAGCAGGGGAUCUUCGGAGCGUGCGCGGUUGAAUGAGCCGAUGUCGGAUUAGCUAGUUGGCGGGGUAAAGGCCCACCAAGGCGACGAUCCGUAGCUGGUCUGAGAGGAUGAUCAGCCACACUGGAACUGAGACACGGUCCAGACUCCUACGGGAGGCAGCAGUGGGGAAUAUUGGACAAUGGGCGCAAGCCUGAUCCAGCCAUACCGCGUGGGUGAAGGAGGCCUUCGGGUUGUAAAGCCCUUUUGUUGGGAAAGAAAAGCAGCAGGUUAAUACCCCGCUGUUCUGACGGUACCCAAAGAAUAAGCACCGGCUAACUUCGUG
rnacentral:rRNA from 1 species